CGGGGUGUAUAGCUCAGUGGUAGAGCAUUCGACUGCAGAUCGGGAGGUCCCCGGUUGAACCGGGGUGUCCCGU
rnacentral:tRNA from 1 species